rnacentral:pre_miRNA from 1 species
UUAUAUAUGUAUAUGUAAUUGCGGGGUUCUAAGCUUUACGGUAAGAAACUUUCGGUUGGGUUUCCCAUAAAGUUUAGAAACUUGCAAUUAUAUACGCAUAUAUAA